AAGUCGCAGUACUAUUCCCUGGCUGAAGAAUCCACUUCUCCCUCUGGAAAUGAUGUGGCAACCUACUGAUGCCCUACGUGGAGAGCAUGACCUAAACAAAAACCAUGCAGACUUGUUUUCCUCACCACCACCUCAUCCAGAGCCUUCAAAAGUUCAGAAGUCCUGGAUACCAUCUGAAGUUUCACCAAGACCAUGCAAAAACCUGGACACCCCCAUCACAGCUACAAAGGACUCCUGCUGAAG